rnacentral:rRNA from 1 species
AUUGAACGCUGGCGGCAUGCCUAACACAUGCAAGUCGAACGGCAGCACGGCAGUAGCAAUACUGUGGGUGGCGAGUGGCGGACGGGUGAGGAAUACGUCGGAAUCUGCCCAAUCGUGGGGGAUAACUAACCGAAAGGUUAGCUAAUACCGCAUACGACCGAGAGGUGAAAGCGGGGGACCGCAAGGCCUCGCGCGAUUGGAUGAGCCGACGUCGGAUUAGCUUGUUGGUGGGGUAAAGGCCUACCAAGGCCACGAUCGGUAGCUGGUCUGAGAGGAUGAUCAGCCACACUGGGACUGAGACACGGCCCAGACUCCUACGGGAGGCAGCAGUGGGGAAUAUUGGACAAUGGGCGCAAGCCUGAUCCAGCAAUGCCGCGUGUGUGAAGAAGGCCUGCGGGUUGUAAAGCACUUUAAGCGGGGAGGAAGGCCUGAUGGUUAAUACCCAUUGGGAUUGACGUUACCCGCAGAAUAAGCACCGGCAAACUUCGUGCCAG